UUGGAAUUCUUCACACAAAACUGCCAUUCAUAUUACGAUGUUUCACACAAACACAAACUCAUUCUCUCUGCUGAACUACAAUCAGAUUUCAGCAUUCAAUCUUUCUUCUUCUCAAAUAAUACCAAUCAUAUUUCCAUUCCAUAAUUCACUUUACAAUAUUCAGAAACUCUCAAUCCUCUUAUUCAAAGAAAAUAACAAACAAAAGAAAAGAGGUAGCAUCAAGCUUACCUUGGCUCACA
rnacentral:lncRNA from 1 species